AGCUUUGCGUAGUGACAUUAUCAUAGCCAAUGAGGUUUAUUCGAGGCGUGAUUAUUGCUCAUUGAAAACUGUUCCCAAGAAUG
rnacentral:snRNA from 1 species